GGCGUCCCGGAAGUGCUCUGGAAGGGGGCGCGGCCGCCAGCUCUGAGGUCCUUCAGCUAGUUAUACUGCGAAAUGCAACUCUGGGCACGGAAGGACCAGAGCUAGCCACCUCGGGACUUGUCAGUUGGCUUUCUCAGUGCAGACUUCCGGUGAAGCCCCUGUGAGGACCCUGAAGCGUUUGCCCAGAGCGGGGCAAGACCUCGCCCGGCUUGGGGACCGCACCAAAGGCUGGGACCCGCAGUGUCUGCCACACGCUCCCUGGCUGUUGACUGGCCUGUCGUCGGUGGUAAUAUCGUGGAAAUUGCUGGCUUGUCUUAGAUCCCUUGAUUUAUUAUUAUCCUAGGCCCUUUACCACAAACCCAGGCGAAGAGUUGUAGUAAUAGGAUUCAUCGAGUCCAUAUGAAGCAAUCUACUAGGCUUUUUUUUUUUUUUUUUAAUGGCAUUUAAUCUUUGGGACAAUCUAAUCAGAUAAGAGACGAAGUUUGGUUGGAUUAACUAAUUCAGAGGCAGUCUGAUCCUGUAUAAUGACCCGCCAGCACACUCAUGCAAAACCCUCAUCCUGCCGUGCUGUAGAAAGGCCGUUGCAUGCUGUGUUAGGCUGGAAGGCUCUGGAGGUAACCCAGAUUUGCCCACUUUAUUUAACAGAAGAAUUCUUAGACCCCAAAGCUAACGCCAUAAGGAACCAGAGGCUUCUCAGGGCCUGGUGACACCAUUGGCCAGGUCUUCCAGAUUGCAGUGGAGAAUCUCAGGCAUCUCUUCAGACACAGAGAGGAAACCCUGGAGAGCAUGUUUUUGGAAACUGGGAAGAUGUCGUUCCAGUGGCGCCCACAUACCUUCUGAGGGCUGAAGGUUGUGAUGGAAAUAAAUCUGAGAACCACUUGUCAACCUGGGGACACUGUCUACAACCUGCCCAGCUCCAGGCAGCCCGUGUUUUAUGACUUAUGGAGUCUUUACAGACCUUCAGAGAACUCAGCCGCAGGGUAUUAAAAUCUACUUGCAGUUUUAGGAUUGCA